AGUGAACGCUGGCGGUAGGCCUAACACAUGCAAGUCGAACGGCAGCACAGUAAGAGCUUGCUCUUACGGGUGGCGAGUGGCGGACGGGUGCGGAAUACAUCGGAAUCUACUUUUUCGUGGGGGCUAACGUAGGGAAACUUACGCUAAUACCGCAUACGACCUACGGGUGAAAGCAGGGGAUCUUCGGACCUUGCGCGAUUGAAUGAGCCUAUGUCGGAUUAGCUAGUUGGCGGGGUAAAGGCCCACCAAGGCGACGAUCCGUAGAUGGUCUGAGAGGAUGAGCAGCCACACUGGAACGGAGACACGGUCCAGAAUCCUAGGGGAGGCAGAAGUGGGGAAUAUUGGAGAAUGGGCGCAAGCCGGAUCCAGCCAUACCGCGUGGGUGAAGAAGGCCUUCGGGUUGUAAAGCCCUUUUGUUGGGAAAGAAAAGCAGCAGGUUAAUACCCCGCUGUUCUGACGGUACCCAAAGAAUAAGCACCGGCUAACUUCGUG
rnacentral:rRNA from 1 species